rnacentral:lncRNA from 1 species
AGGAUUCCUUGAGUGUGCUCCUCCCUUCUCCCCAGGGACUGUUGGCCACCAGCCCAUGAGAACAAAGGAAACAGAGUUGAAGGCCAGGGUUCUGAUUGCCCAUGAGUACAACAGAAAUGACUACCAGGAUAAGCUUCAAAGAAGCAGCUCAAUGUUCAUUGAGAUGAAUCAAGGGCUAUAUAGAUUUUGGGGAAGGGGGUAGGAAUUUCAAGGGUAGGGCCCAACACUUGAGAGAUGUUAAACAUCAGUCUUUGAUAGAAUCGUGAAGAAGUUGCUAUUAAUAUGAGGGAAGUACUGCUGCAGCAACAGCAUGGAUGAACUUGCCAGCAAGAGUGAAGACAGCUUCCAGGCUGAAUCUGUAUCUAUCACUCAUCAGAAAAAUCACACCAUUAAAUGGCUGUUUGUUGAACCUGUUUGGAUUCUGGCUGCCUGUGAACCUGGAUGCAUGCCACCUUUUCCUUAAAGGCUUCAAUUUUCCUCGGCAGGAUUGGAAAGUCAAGAAGGAAAGAGGGUUCUGCGGGAAAGUCUGGACCACUUUCACUGUGCACACGUGUGUCUUCAUCUGUGUAGCUUGUCCUGCUGGAAACCAUUUCCUUCCAUUUUAUAGAUAUCCCGAGGUUUCGCCAAUAGAAAGCACCAGCGACUUAUAGUCUGUCGAGUGGAGACUGAUAUAUGGAAUCUGUUUGAAGAGAAUGACUAAUGGAAAUCCCAUAACAGAGAGACACGUGGAAUAAUGUCUGGAAAUCGGUUAAAAGAAGGAUGAUUCAGUCAAUGGUGCUUUAUUUAGUAAUUGGAAAGAGCCAGAAAAGAGGAUCUUGAAUAUUCUCAUUGCAAAGAAAUGAUCCAUGUUUAAGAUAAAGGACUAAGUAUAUCGAGUUGUUCGGUAUGUAAGAUAAACACAUCCUCAAACAUCAGAGUGUACUUCAUGGAGA